rnacentral:rRNA from 1 species
GUAGGUGGCAAGCGUUGUCCGGAAUUAUUGGGCGUAAAGCGCGCGCAGGCGGCUCUUUAAGUCUGAUGUGAAAGCCCACGGCUCAACCGUGGAGGGUCAUUGGAAACUGGAGAACUUGAGUACAGAAGAGGAAAGCGGAAUUCCACGUGUAGCGGUGAAAUGCGUAGAGAUGUGGGGGAACACCAGUGGCGAAGGCGGCUUUCUGGUCUGUAACUGACGCUGAGGCGCGAAAGCGUGGGGAGCAAACAGGGAUUAGAUACCCUGGUAGUCCACGCCGUAAACGAUGAGUGCUAAGUGUUAGGGGGGUUUCCGCCCCCUUAGUGCUGCAGCUAACGCAUUAAGCACUCCGCCUGGGGAGUACGGCCGCAAGGCUG